rnacentral:rRNA from 1 species
CAUCCUCCAAGGCUAAAUACUCCUGACUGACCGAUAGUGAACCAGUACCGUGAGGGAAAGGCGAAAAGAACCCCGGCGAGGGGAGUGAAAAAGAACCUGAAACCGUGUACGUACAAGCAGUGGGAGCACAGGUUUACCUGUGUGACUGCGUACCUUUUGUAUAAUGGGUCAGCGACUUAUAUUCUGUAGCAAGGUUAACCGCAUAGGGGAGCCGGAGGGAAACCGAGUCUUAAUUGGGCGUUAAGUUGCAGGGUAUAGACCCGAAACCCGGUGAUCUAGCCAUGGGCAGGUUGAAGGUUGGGUAACACUAACUGGAGGACCGAACCGACUAAUGUUGAAAAAUUAGCGGAUGACCUGUGGCUGGGGGUGAAAGGCCAAUCAAACCGGGAGAUAGCUGGUUCUCCCCGAAAGCUAUUUAGGUAGCGCCUCGUGAAUUCAUCUCCGGGGGUAGAGCACUGUUUCGGCUAGGGGGCCAUCCCGGCUUACCAACCCGAUGCAAACUGCGAAUACCGGAGAAUGUUAUCACGGGAGACACACGGCGGGUGCUAACGUCCGUCGUGAAGAGGGAAACAACCCAGACCGCCAGCUAAGGUCCCAAAGUCAUGGUUAAGUGGGAAACGAUGUGGGAAGGCCCAGACAGCCAGGAUGUUGGCUUAGAAGCAGCCAUCAUUUAAAGAAAGCGUAAUAGCUCACUGGUCGAGUCGGCCUGCGCGGAAGAUGUAACGGGGCUAAACCAUGCACCGAAGCUGCGGCAGCGACGCUGAUGCGUUGUUGGGUAGGGGAGCGUUCUGUAAGCCUGUGAAGGUGGCCUGUGAGGGUUGCUGGAGGUAUCAGAAGUGCGAAUGCUGACAUAAGUAACGAUAAAGCGGGUGAAAAGCCCGCUCGCCGGAAGACCAAGGGUUCCUGUCCAACGUUAAUCGGGGCAGGGUGAGUCGACCCCUAAGGCGAGGCCGAAAGGCGUAGUCGAUGGGAAACGGGUUAAUAUUCCCGUACUUGGUGUUACUGCGAAGGGGGGACGGAGAAGGCUAUGUUGGCCGGGCGACGGUUGUCCCGGUUUAAGCGUGUAGGCUGGUUUUCCAGGCAAAUCCGGUUCACUUUAAAACUGAGGCGUGAUGACGAGGCACUACGGUGCUGAAGCAACAAAUGCCCUGCUUCCAGGAAAAGCCUCUAAGCAUCAGGUAACAUCAAAUCGUACCCCAAACCGACACAGGUGGUCAGGUAGAGAAUACCAAGGCGCUUGAGAGAACUCGGGUGAAGGAACUAGGCAAAAUGGUGCCGUAACUUCGGGAGAAGGCACGCUGACAUGUAGGUGAAGUGAUUUACUCAUGGAGCUGAAGUCAGUCGAAGAUACCAGCUGGCUGCAACUGUUUAUUAAAAACACAGCACUGUGCAAACACGAAAGUGGACGUAUACGGUGUGACGCCUGCCCGGUGCCGGAAGGUUAAUUGAUGGGG